GAAAUAGGUUCCUAAUUUUCAUUAGGAUUAAAAGGGAAGUCCGGUGUAAUUCCGGCACGGUCCCGCCACUGUAAUGGGAAUGUUAGCGCCAUCCAAUAUGCCACUGAUCAAAGGAUCGGGAAGGCCCGCCGCUAAUGAUAUUCCCUAAGUCAGGAGACCUGCCUAUUUC
rnacentral:ncRNA from 1 species